UGGGGUAUAGCUCAAGUGGUAGAGCGUAUGCUUAGCAUAUACAAGGUCCUGGGUUCAAUCCUCAGUACCUCCU
rnacentral:tRNA from 1 species